CAGCCGCCGCGGUAAUACCGGCGGCCCGAGUGGCGGUCACUAUUAUUGGGCUUAAAGCGUCCGUAGCCGGGUUGGGAAGGCCUCCGGGAAAUCUGGCCGCUUAACGGUCAGAAUGCCGGAGGAUACUCCCAGCCUAGGGGGCGGGAGAGGCCGAGGGGAUUCCCGGGGUAGGGGUGAAAUCCUAUAAUCCCGGGAGGACCACCUGUGGCGAAGGCGCUCGGCUGGAACGCGUCCGACGGUGAGGGACGAAGGCCAGGGGAGCAAACCGGAUUAGAUACCCGGGUAGUCCUGGCUGUAAACGAUGCGGACUUUGUGUCGGACAAGCUAUGAGCUUGUCCGGUGCCGGAGGGAAACCGUUAAGUCCGCCGCCUGGGGAGUACGGCCGCAAGGCUGAAACUUAAAGGAAUUGGCGGG
rnacentral:rRNA from 1 species